AUUGAACGCUGGCGGCAUGCCUUACACAUGCAAGUCGAACGGUAACAGGUCUUCGGAUGCUGACGAGUGGCGAACGGGUGAGUAAUACAUCGGAACGUGCCUAGUAGUGGGGGAUAACUACUCGAAAGAGUGGCUAAUACCGCAUGAGAUCUACGGAUGAAAGCAGGGGAUCGCAAGACCUUGUGCUACUAGAGCGGCCGAUGGCAGAUUAGGUAGUUGGUGGGAUAAAAGCUUACCAAGCCGACGAUCUGUAGCUGGUCUGAGAGGACGAUCGGCCACACUGGGACUGAGACGCGGCCCAGACUCCUACGGGAGGCAGCAGUGGGGAAUUUUGGACAAUGGGCGCAAGCCUGAUCCAGCAAUGCCGCAUGCAGGAUGAAGGCCUUCGGGUUGUAAACUGCUUUUGUACGGAACGAAAAGCCCUGGGUUAAUACCCUGGGGUCAUGACGGUACCGUAAGAAUAAGCACCGGCUAACUACGUGCCAGCCGCCGCCGUAA
rnacentral:rRNA from 1 species